AAAUAUUUCCAUAAUCCUUUCAGACAAAUCUUGUGUGUGUGCUGACCAAAUGAAAUUUCUAGAAAUCUCUGUACGGUUACGGAUUAGCGGAGCAACGCGGUGCUACUUCCUGUAUCUGUAUCUGUAUCUAUUCAGUGCUCCAAAUAUCUGAACCUGUAUCUUUGAUUAAAACAUCACAAGGGCGAUUUAUUUAUUUUUUUAUUUUUAAUGAACCCGACCACCAUGCCAACAAAAAACCUGGAAAUCAUUCAAAAGAAAUCUCUGAAAUCUCACUCUGACAGUUCCUCACCUCAGAUACAGCACAUCACUUGAGACCAUAGUUGGUUACUAAGGUACUAAUGUCACUGACCAGGUAGUUACUAAGUUACUGACCAGGGAGUUACUAAGUUACUGACCAGGGAGUUACUAAAGACACUGAUCAGGUGGUUACUAAGAUACUGACCAGGUAGGUACUAAGUUACUGACCAGGGAGUUACUAAGGUACUAAGGUCACUGACCAGGACAACAUUCUGGACAAACAAGUCCGAUCCCACGGAUCCACCUCGGUCGCAACUUACAGGACGUAAAGGAUCUGCCGCUAACGUCUCAGCGCCAGAUCCCACAGCACACCUUCGGAGGUCUUGUUGAGUCCGUACCUCGAGGUGUCGGAGCCGUUCUGGCACGAGGAGAGGCGGACCGCCC
ensembl:lncRNA